rnacentral:lncRNA from 1 species
AUGAUGUAUCUCUUCUUGGUAGCAACAGGUCUAAGCUUUCUGAGUGUGUUUCAUUCAGCUCUUUUGGAAUGGAUCCUGAAUGUAUGCUUUCCCAAACCUGUAAACACACCGAUCAGAGUUGAAAUCAACGCGAUCAAAGCAGAGUUACAAACGGUUUCCAUGGUAGACGAAUUUCCAAAAUAUGCUAGGUUGCAGCGGAAGUUAAAUGCUCUUAAAGAGCAGCUCUCAACUGCUCCAAAUAAAAUAACUGUUGCCCUGAAUCGCAUGAUGAUGGACCUGUUUCUUCAAGGCAUCUUCGUGUGCACAAAUAUUUUUUGCUUCUACAUGUAUCGUUCAGUUUCUGUCUUUAAACUUCCAGUAGAGUGGUUGGAGCCACAUCCGAUCCCACAUCUUGUCAGCUGGCCUUCAAACGAAGCAGGUGGGAUCAGCUUCCUCUUUUGGUUUACAGUUUCUAGCCAAGUUUUUCGGCUUCUAAAAACUCGGUGAAAGUAUAUGUCCAGUCUUGGACUCUGGAAUGUCCAGCACUAUCUCAAAGCCUUAAAAGAUCCUUUUGGCUUCUGUCAGAUAGAGAUUUGCAAUCAGGGCUUGUGCAGAACUGUUCCUCCCAUGAUGUCAACUGUUAUGUACAUGUAAGUAACGAUUAAUUGAUUUCAAUACAGAAUUUAUUUGAGAAACAGAAUAUAAGAAUCCAUUAAUUACUGUAUGAUGCCUCAGAGGAAAUCCCAAUAAGUCUUUUGAUGCUACCAAAUCUCUUCUGAUGAAGUAUGAACCUUCUG